rnacentral:sRNA from 1 species
UUAAAAACAGUCAAAUAUUUGAUGUUUUAUGGGACAUAAUCAUUUGGGAAGUUUUUGUUGUAAAUGAAGAGUUAGUUUGUUGCUAUUAAUUUGUUUGACACAUAAGUUCAUUCCUAAAAGUUAGAGAUGUUACAUAAAGAAGGGUUGAGGACUUUAUUUCAGAAGUCAUUUAAUUUUUUCUUUAUUUUCUUUCAGAUUUUGUAUGGUUUAUUCAGAAGUGCCAAAUUUCAGUGAACCCAACCCAGAUUAUCGAGGACAGCAGAACAAAGGGGCACAGAGUGAACAGAAGAAUAAUUCCACGAAUAGUAAUAUGGGUACAGGUACAUUUGGACCAGUGGGGUCUUACGCUGUUGCCCAGACUGGAGUGCAGUGGCGUGAUCUUGGCUCAUCGCAACCUCCACCUCCCAGGCUCAAGUGAUUCUCCUGCCUCAGCCUCCCAAGUAGCUGGGAUUACAGAUGUGCACCACUACCACCCAGCUAAUUUUAAUAUUUUUAAUAGAGAUGGGAUUUCACCAUAUGGGCCAGGCUAGUCUCGAAC